GAUGAACGCUGGCGGCGUGCCUAAUACAUGCAAGUCGAGCGAACAGGCGAGGAGCUUGCUCCUCUGACGUUAGCGGCGGACGGGUGAGUAACACGUGGAUAACCUACCUAUAAGACUGGGAUAACUUCGGGAAACCGGAGCUAAUACCGGAUAAUAUAUUGAACCGCAUGGUUCAAUAGUGAAAGACGGUUUUGCUGUCACUUAUAGAUGGAUCCGCGCCGCAUUAGCUAGUUGGUAAGGUAACGGCUUACCAAGGCAACGAUGCGUAGCCGACCUGAGAGGGUGAUCGGCCACACUGGAACUGAGACACGGUCCAGACUCCUACGGGAGGCAGCAGUAGGGAAUCUUCCGCAAUGGGCGAGAGCCUGACGGAGCAACGCCGCGUGAGUGAUGAAGGUCUUCGGAUCGUAAAACUCUGUUAUUAGGGAAGAACAAAUGUGUAAGUAACUAUGCACGUCUUGACGGUACCUAAUCAGAAAGCCACGGCUAACUACGUG
rnacentral:rRNA from 1 species